GUCUACAGCUGUACCACCCUGAACACGCCCGAUCCCGUCUGAUCUCGAAAGCUAAGCAGGGGCAGGCCUGGUUAGUACUUGAAUGGGAGACCAUCAAGGAAGACUGGGUGCUGUAGGCA
rnacentral:rRNA from 1 species